rnacentral:rRNA from 1 species
UACGUAGGGGGCAAGCGUUGUUCGGAUUUACUGGGCGUAAAGCGCACGUAGGCGGCUUCUUAAGUCGGUGGUGAAAUCCUGGAGCUCAACUCCAGAACUGCCUUCGAUACUGGGAAGCUCGAGUCCGGGAGAGGUGAGUGGAACUGCGGGUGUAGAGGUGAAAUUCGUAGAUAUUCGCAAGAACACCAGUGGCGAAGGCGGCUCACUGGCCCGGUACUGACGCUGAGGUGCGAAAGCGUGGGGAGCGAACAGG